AGAGUUUGAUCCUGGCUCAGAAUCAACGCUGGCGGCGUGCCUAACACAUGCAAGUCGAACGCGAAAGUCCCUUCGGGGGCUAGUAGAGUGGCGUCCGGGUGAGUAACACGUGGGUAAUCUACCUCCGGGUGGGGAAUAACACCUCGAAAGAGGUGCUAAUACCGCAUAAUGCAGCGGCACCUAAUGGUGAUUAGUUGUUAAAGCGGGGGAUCGCAAGACCUCGCGUCUGGAGAGGAGCCUGCGGCCGAUUAGCUAGUUGGUGAGGUAACGGCUCACCAAGGCUACGAUCGGUAGCUGGUCUGAGAGGACGGCCAGCCACACUGGCACUGAAAUACGGGCCAGACUCCUACGGGAGGCAGCAGCGGGGAAUUUUGGGCAAUGGGCGCAAGCCUGACCCAGCAACGCCGCGUGAGGGAGGAAAUCCUUCGGGAUGUAAACCUCGCAAGCAGGGGAAGAGUGCUUUCGACCUAAUACGUCGAAAGAAGGACGGUACCCUGCGUAAGCCACGGCUAACUACGUGCCAGCAGCCGCGGUAAUACGUAGGUGGCAAGCGUUGUUCGGAAUUACUGGGCGUAAA
rnacentral:rRNA from 1 species